UCAAACACAAAAACCCCUUUUUUCCCAACAAGGUCUACUUAUGCUCCAUUACAGAAAAUACAUGUCCCAAAAGAAGACAGUAUCUCUCAAGAAGUCAUUCUGCCUGUUCUAAUGCUGGUUACAACACAAUCCAAGAGGCCUUGAGAGGGAACAAGAGAGGAAGGACUGCUGAUAAAAUGUAGGUCAAAUGAGCUAAUAGAACAUAGUGGUAAUUCUAGAGAGUUGCAAGCAGAACAGGUGAAAAAAGCAACUGAUGGCAAUUAAGAACUAAUUGUUAACCACCGGUAAUUUUAUCAGUCACACUGAGCUAGAUAGCACUGGAGACUGAGAAAACAAGAGUAGAAAGAUUUUUUCUACUCUGUAGCAGCGGUUGGCUGUGUGUUUGAGACUGAGGGACCAUUACAGACUGCCAAGACAUGGGUGAUUUCUAUGCUGCCAAGCCCAAGAUGUUCUUCUGAUCUGUGGCCAGCCAGCCAGAAAAAUGUCAUGGAGUGAAUAUUCUCAGGAACAUGAAUUAAACUACAGCAUAAGGAAGAUACACUGUUACAAUGCCAUUUGGAGGAUGUGUUUCUGUUGGACAUCCUCCAGACUGCACUAUGAUACCAGGAGGUGGUUCAAGCCAGUAUCAUACAUUAAAGGCCACAUCUUCAAGCGAGUGGUGCUGCAAGUUGACUAAAGUUCCGGCAAUGUGCCUGCUAUAAAUAUCCCUGUGCUAUAGAGCUCAAAGAGAUACUUUUCUUGAGCACUUAGACCACUAUCUUCCAUGGUGCCCUUUUUCUAGAAGUAAACCUGACCUAUAAAGAGGAAAAGAGGCUCUCAAGGAGGGGUUAUAGGAUAUGACAAAGGGCAAUCUGCAAAAAUCUGUGGUCAAGCAGGAACAACUUGCUGAAUAAACAUUUACAACAGAUGGGCUCAAAGACGUCUUUGUGAAGCUUCUCAUGUGGUGAAACCAGUUCUGAAGAGAGAAAAACAGGAACCCUAGAUUCAGACUGUGGACUCGCACAUCUCGACAAACAUCUCGAUGGAUUGGAAUUAGAGUGGAUUAUCAGACUUCUUCUGUUUCGGCUUCAUGAUCUAGCAGCUGUUCCAGUACCAUGGCUCCUGGGGAACUCCUCUCUCCGUCAUCAGCUCCUGCUGGCUCUUGAUAUGGAAGAAUAUGCAUUACCUCACUAUGUUCAGGCCGUAGGAGCCACAGGAGGAAGGAACAGGCAAAGGGACCGAAUUCCACCCCGUGAACAAGGGACUCAGAGUGGCAGCUGGAGUGAAGAAGACCCGAGAUUCUGCAUCAGGAAUCACAUAAAUUCUGGGACCUUUUCUAUCUUUGUUUGUGGCUUGAAGAAUACUGUCUCAGGGUGGGCCGAACCCUGGGUGAGCCAUUUUUGUUUUGAGCCACGCAGGUGUCUAUGUUUUGGGUAAAUGUUGUUCUGGUGGUCCACAUUGUGGCUGUAGGUGAGACAGAGGCCAGUGAAUGUGCUUGGGAGACACCCCAAAUUUGAAACAUGAUUGAGAAGAUAGAAACUGGGGGAUAGGCUCCAAGCCCAGAAGGCAAAGCCUGUCAGGGACUAAAAAGUAGUGGCAGAACUCAGGGCAAUUACCCUUUGAGCCCAAAGCUUGUGCUCCUAAAUAGUGGGCUCCAAGCUAGAGGUACAGCUAGAGUAAAAGUGGGAUGAGGCCAGGAGAGCCCUGGCCCAGACAAGGGUCUGGCUCCCAAAGGUCCCCUCACCCACGGGCAGCCUUCCCUGUCAGUUUGUUCCAUCAAGUCAUGGCAGGUGAGGAUACUGAUAGGAAGAGCCAGAAGGGAUGAUGAGAGCUAGUGGGAAGAGUCUCUAAAGUCAGGUACCUAGUGUACCAAAUGCUGUGGGUGGCAUACAUUACCAUUUUCACAUCUCAAGAAAUUUCUUUGGAGCCUAAUGGUAAUUGAAAAGAGUAAAAAUGGUUCUGCUGAGUAUAUAAUGUCUGAAAGUACUACUUUCAGGCCCCCCUCUACAUUUUACAGGUAUUGUGCAACUAACCUUGAGACCAGUUACAUGUGCAAAAUAUUUAUCUCACAAUAAAAAUUUCCAGCAAGCUAUAAAGUUAGACCUCAAAAAUGUGUACAGCUGGUUACUAUUGAUCUUUAAUUUGCAUGUGUAGCAGGAUCUCCCCUGUGGCUGGGAGCCCUAUCAGGUGUGGGCUCCCAGCCACAGGAGUGCACCUAGGCAAGCUGGGGCUGCAAGUCCUGCAAUUGCUUGGGACACUCAGCCCCAGCAGCUGCCAACUCUGGGUCAUGCCAGGACCCUGCAGCUUCCGGGACAUAGAUGCAGAUGCAGCUACUAUCUCCCAGACCUAGGGGUGUGUGAAAUCCCCAGGAUGGGGGGGAUCACCAUAGGUGAGUGGGCUCCCAACCAUGAGAGCUUUGUUUUUGCCAGUGCAGGGGAACCCUGAACUGGCAAUAAGGCAUGUUUGGAUCUAAUUUGCAAUCCCACAAUUGUACCUUCUGCCCUGCCCAUGUGGCACAGCAUGAGGUGUGACUGUGGGAAUUGCACAAUAGAUCCCAUCAUGCCUUUACCUGCACGUGUAGAGGGGGCCCGAGUUUGUUCCACAUGCCACAGCAAAUUGUGCUAUCUGAAAACUACUUAGUUAUUCCUUUACAUCCCUAAACAACUUGAUCUUUUGCCCUGAGCUAAUCUCUCCCUCUUACUUGGUGAAGAGACAGGAAAAGUAAUCAUUUAGCAGCAUUUUUAUUUCUAGCACUUACCACCAUUAUCAUAAGUAGCCCAAUGGGGUUUUUAAAAUCUUUCUUGCUCUCUGACCCAGCUGAUUUUAACUCUGAUAUCCACAACUUUUGUAUCAAACAGGCAAGAAUGAAAGAAUGCUGUAUAUGGAUUAGUUUAGUAGUACUAUUAUUAAAUGAGUUGCUAAUGGUAA